rnacentral:tRNA from 1 species
GCUUCUGUAGCAUAAUGGUUAAUGCAAUCGGCUGUUAACCGAUCGAUUGUAGGUUCGAGUCCUACCGGAAGCGCCA